UGCAGAGGGGGCAAGCGUUGUUCGGAAUUACUGGGCGUAAAGGGCGCGUAGGCGGCCUCCUAAGUCGAACGUGAAAUCCCCGGGCUCAACCCGGGAACUGCGUCCGAUACUGGAAGGCUUGAAUCCGGGAGAGGGAUGUGGAAUUCCAGGUGUAGCGGUGAAAUGCGUAGAUAUCUGGAGGAACACCGGUGGCGAAGGCGACAUCCUGGACCGGUAUUGACGCUGGGGCGCGAAAGCCAGGGGAGCAAACGGG
rnacentral:rRNA from 1 species